rnacentral:rRNA from 1 species
GUUGAACGCUGGCGGAAUGCUUUACACAUGCAAGUCGAACGGUAGAGGGGGCAACCCCUCGAGAGUGGCGAACGGGUGAGUAAUAUAUCGGAACGUGCCCAGUCGUGGGGGAUAACGUAGCGAAAGUUGCGCUAAUACCGCAUACGAUCUAAGGAUGAAAGCGGGGGAUCGCAAGACCUCGCGCGAUUGGAGCGGCCGAUAUCAGAUUAGGUAGUUGGUGGGGUAAAGGCUCACCAAGCCAACGAUCUGUAGCUGGUCUGAGAGGACGAACAGCCACACUGGAACUGAGAAACGGUCCAGACUCCUACGGGAGGCAGCAGUGGGGAAUUUUGGACAAUGGACGCAAGUCUGAUCCAGCCAUUCCGCGUGCAGGAUGAAGGCCCUCGGGUUGUAAACUGCUGUUGUACGGAACGAAAAGGUCUCUCUUAAUACGGGGGGCUCAUGACGGUACCGUAAGAAUAAGCACCGGCUAACUACGUGCCAGCAGCCGCGGUAA